rnacentral:rRNA from 1 species
GUGAGGAAUUUUCCGCAAUGGGCGAAAGCCUGACGGAGCAAUGCCGCGUGAAGGAUGAAGGCCUAUGGGUUGUAAACUUCUUUUCUCAGAAAAGAAUUAUGACGGUAUCUGAGGAAUAAGCAUCGGCUAACUCUGUGCCAGCAGCCGCGGUAAGACAGAGGAUGCAAGCGUUAUCCGGAAUGAUUGGGCGUAAAGCGUCUGUAGGUUGUUUAAAAAGUAUUCUGUCAAAGAUUAGGGCUUAACCCUAGAUAGGCAGAAUAAACUUUUAAGCUAUAGUUUGGUAGAGGCAGAGGGAAUUCCCGGUGGAGCGGUGAAAUGCGUAGAUAUCGGGAGGAACACCAAAGGCGAAGGCACUCUGCUGGGCCAAUACUAACACUGAGAGACGAAAGCGAGGGGAGCAAAUGGGAUUAGAAACCCUUGUAGUCC